GGACUACUGAGUCAUUUCAUUGGCGCCCCCGCGCACGGUCUGGAGCAGGACGGCAGUGCGUGAUCAACGAGUGGUGACCAAUCAGAGUACGCGAGGGUGCACGUGCACAGGCCGAUUAUUGGCUGGGGCAAGGCACGGUCCUGGGGCCCUGACCAAUAGAGAGGCGUUGCGCCCAUGUGGACAGCUAGUGGGAAACAAUAUUUGUUAGGGAGGGGGCGGAAACAGGAAUCUCCGGCUUGCGGCGUGUCAGCCGUUCCCAUGGUUACACGUGGAGGCGGGGUUUCUAGUAGCCUGGGCUUAAGGGGAUUCGUACUGGAACGUGAGGUGGUGCCUGUAAAGGCUUUGUGGUUCUGAUUAGGAUUGAUAUAAAAUCCAAGUUUAACAAGUACCUGUCAAUAAGUCAUGAAUCUUAGCCUUCACCACCUGCCCCCAUACGAUGUACAAAGGUUUUUCACAAGCAGAGUGGGGACGUGCCUCUGACUUCUCUCAGAAUCACCACUAACAGCUGUGAAACUUCAGAUCAGAGGUGUGUAAACUUUUCCUGGAAAAGGCCAAAUGCUUCCCCCACAGGAAUCUCCUGAACAAACUAUGUGAAUAAGAUGGCAUCUACAAGAAGAUCACCAGGAGUGGACAAGCCUGCACAUGAUGGGGAUUACGACAACCCUGACCCCCAUCUCAGUGAUUAACUGAGAUUCUUUCCUUGUUUCCCUUUAAAAAAUUUCAAGGCCAGGCAGAAUCUUUGCAGGCUGUUUCUGAGGGACGCUGAGUCUGCCGUCUCCCCAGAUUGCUGGCAUUCUGAUUAAAGACACCUUUCCUUUCUACCAUUUGUAUUGAUUUUGUAAGUGACUAGCAUUGAGACCCCCUAUUCAAUAACAAUAAUUUAAACUUACAACAUCUAUAAUUAUGCAUAAGUUAUCUAUAAUGUUUCUUUUGCAUUCCUAAUUUCGCUAAUUCAUGAUCUCUCUGUUUUUCCUUGAUUAGUCUUGCUGGAGAUUUAUAAAUAGUACUCAUCUUUUUAAGAAACUUGAUUUCAGUUUUGU
ensembl:lncRNA